rnacentral:rRNA from 1 species
GAGAGUUAAACAGUACGUGAAAUUGUUGAAAGGGAAACGAUUGAAGUCAGUCAUACCAACGGGAAAUCAACCUUUUGAGUUUGGUCUCGUGGGUUUUGAAGAGUUUAAAAGCCUUCGGAUUUUCGAGAUUGGGUUCUUCUGGUGUACUUUCUCGUACGGUUAGUCAACAUCGGUUUUGAAUGUCAUAAAAUGACUGGAGGAAUGUGGCUUCGAUCUCGUAUUGAAGUGUUAUAGCCUUUGGUAGAUGUGAUGUUCGAGACCGAGGAUUGCAACGGAUACCCUUCUGGGCUAUUCGUCUGAUCUCUGAAACGUUGCCUUGAUGUCGAAAGCUUGCUUAUGAUGUUAGGGUAUUACGGUCAAAAGGUUAGAACGGAUUAAAUUCGUUAAGGAUGUUGACGUAAUGACUUUAAACGA